rnacentral:rRNA from 1 species
UACGGAGGGUGCAAGCGUUGUCCGGAAUCACUGGGCGUAAAGGGCGCGUAGGCGGCUCAUGAAGGCUGUGGUGAAAGUCCGGGGCUCAACCUCGGAUCGGCCGUGGCGACUCGUGGGCUGGAGCACUGUAGAGGCAGGUGGAAUUCCGGGUGUAGCGGUGGAAUGCGUAGAGAUCCGGAAGAACACCAGUGGCGAAGGCGGCCUGCUGGGCAGUGGCUGACGCUGAGGCGCGACAGCGUGGGGAGCAAACAGG